UGGAACGUAGCUCAAGUGGUAGAGCAGUAGAUUUUUAACCUAUUGUUGCAGGUUCGAGCCCUGUCGUUCCAA
rnacentral:tRNA from 1 species